CACCCCUCAGGCCCCGCCUGGCGUUGGGGACCUGCGCUGCAGGCCCCGAAAGACAGCGGCGGGCGUGCCCCGAACCGAGCGCAGUAGCACAUCUCGCUCCGGUGCCCGGGCGCGGUCCGGCCGUAAAAAUACCUAGU
rnacentral:misc_RNA from 1 species